GGGGUAGUACUGGUUUCGACAGGGAUCUUGCAGCUGGAGAAGCUAUCCGUGGGAAGGUACGUUAGACCGCAAAUUAAAUAUAAUCGCAAACAACGAUUACGAAUUAGCUGCAGCCUAAGCGCUGUGCUCGCCAGUCCGGUUCUCCCCAUCGUCCCGGGUACUGACGUCAUCAUGAUGGGAAACGACAUUGGCAAAGCUUUGAGUCAGUGGGCGUAACAUGAAGCUACUGAAACCGUAAGAGUGUGUUUCCCCGUGCGGUGGAGGGAAUUUUAAUAGAAACACUAUGAUAGUAGAAGGACAGGGAAUAGGUUUUUGGACAGGGGUUCGACUCCCCUCUACUCCACUA
rnacentral:tmRNA from 1 species